rnacentral:rRNA from 1 species
CCUACGGGAGGCAGCAGUGGGGAAUAUUGGACAAUGGGGGCAACCCUGAUCCAGCCAUGCCGCGUGUGUGAAGAAGGCCCUCGGGUUGUAAAGCACUUUCAGCGAGGAAGAACGCCUGUCGGUUAAUACCCGGCAGGAAAGACAUCACUCGCAGAAGAAGCACCGGCUAACUCCGUGCCAGCAGCCGCGGUAAUACGGAGGGUGCAAGCGUUAAUCGGAAUUACUGGGCGUAAAGCGCGCGUAGGUGGCUUGAUAAGCCGGUUGUGAAAGCCCCGGGCUCAACCUGGGAACGGCAUCCGGAACUGUCAGGCUAGAGUGCAGGAGAGGAAGGUAGAAUUCCCGGUGUAGCGGUGAAAUGCGUAGAGAUCGGGAGGAAUACCAGUGGCGAAGGCGGCCUUCUGGACUGACACUGACACUGAGGUGCGAAAGCGUGGGUAGCAAACAGGAUUAGAUACCCGGGUAGUC